UUGAGUUCGAAUUGACAGCGGCCAAAUGAACGGCUAGAGUUUCCGAGAAAGAGGAUAACAAAUGGCAUGCAAUGAGGAGUGCAUACCGCUGUGUUUGCUUGUUUACGGCAUCAUUGUUGUGUUUCGGUGACUGCUGCCUUCAUUGCUGUUUUACGGGACGUGAGGGUUGUUGCCGUUGCUGUUGGGAUUGGCAAUUCAGCGAUUGUUGGAGUUGUGCUAGUGGGUAUAUGAAAGAGCCACUACCGGCGGGCUUGUACCGUACUGCUAUUAGUUCCAUUCACUUUGAUCACAUUAGUCGUUGACGACCCAGUGAGCGCAGCGGUACGCUGCGGAUAUCCAGGCAUGUCGUUUCCCGGCUAUUGCUGCUUCAUCUGGAGACUCACCUGAUCGUGUGGGUUGUGAAACACAACAGCAAGUUCGAUUGAAACCGGCCCAGCGUAGGUAAUUGUUGGUGUGCAGAAAACGCUAAGUAGCAUGAAAAUUGGUCCUGGUUUGUUUAUAAACAAAAAUAGUCGCUGUCAUUUUUCAUCCCCUCCCGCAUCUUCCAUGCCUUAUCAUCAUACUGUCGAAAACGAACCACCUGUCAAUUCCAGCUCCUUGGAUAUGAUAGUAAACAAACAAGGGGCCCUAUUAUAGAAAUCGAAUCGAGGGGCCCUAUUAUAGAAAUCGAGGCGAUAAGAAUUUUGCUCGUUAGACCUAUUUUACUAUUAUAGAAAUCGAGCAAUUCGAUAGCACCGAGCGAGUGAUAGCUAUCGAUGCAAGUGUCAGAACUUUUCGAGUUGUUUGGUUCACUUGUUGCAUAUCUUCAGAGAAUUAUUUUGUUUUGGUUUGCGUCCCUGAUAUUUUCCUUUAGGAAACAUUUCAGAAACGCUGAAUAUAUGCAAUUUUUAACACAUGUUCGUUUGUUUUGAUCAGUAUUUGUUUUACGGUGUUGCCAGAAUAGUCUAUACAAGCACUUAUUUCAGUGGCUGAUAACGAGUGGACAGACAAAUCACCACCUGUUUGAACGACUCGUUGAACCAAUGGAAGCGAAUGUAAACAUUGCUCGAGGUAUUUGUGGAGGAAGUUCAAAUAAAAUCCAGGUUAAGGUAACGUUGGAGGAAUUUAGUGAGGAGCUUAAUGCGCUGAGACCAUCAAUGCGUCUUGGUUCAGAAUGCCAGAAAAUUUGGAUUGACAUGAGGUGAAAAGUAAAUAAACACUAGCACACAACAAGCGAGAAUUCAGGACCAAAGGUGGUGACCCAAUACAAUAAUGCUAUUGACGCCGCUACAACAAGAAAUCGACACUAAAAGAGAAUUACAUUAAAAAAAAUGUUUUCCUUAAAAAAGUGGAAUUUAUGUGUGACUCCUUACGGAAUUCCAUAGGUUGCAGUUGUGAAAAUAAAUGAAAAGAUUCAUUUUCUAAUAAUUAUAUUUUUGUAAAGCAAAUUGUUCCAUGAUAUCGUUUUUAUUACACAUCCAUGCAUGCAUUACGCCUAUUAAGCUUCAUUCGUUCAGGGAAUACCAGUUUUCUCCAAAACAUAACCAUAUUAACACUUUUGGAAAUACAUUUUCAUAGCAGAUACCUCAAAAAAAGAUUUGGCAUCCUUUCUAUAGUGUUUCGUGAAACAUUUCAAGCUAUUUCAAACUAUUUCAUCACAACCGCUGACAUUCGAGCUUGCUAACAAAUCGAGCAGUUUUCCUCGAUUUCUAUAA